rnacentral:rRNA from 1 species
GAUGAACGCUGGCGGCGUGCCUAAUACAUGCAAGUCGAGCGGACGGACGAGAAGCUUGCUUCUCUGAUGAUAGGGGCGGACGGGAGUGACACACGUGUAUCACCUACCUAUAUGACUGAGAUCACUUCGGGACACCGGAGAUAAUACCAGAUAAUAUUUUGAACCGCGUGGUGCAAAAGUGAGAGACGGUCUUGCGGUCACUUCUAGAGGGAUACGCGCUGGAUUAGCUAGUUGGUAAGGUCACGGGUUACCAAGGCGACGAUGCAUAGCCGAGCUGAGAGAGUGAUAGGCCACACUAGAGCGUAGACACCGUCCAGACUCCUACGGGAGGCAGCAGUAGCGAAUCUGCCGCAGUGGGCGAAAGCCUGACGGAGCAACGGCGCGUGAGUGAUGAAGGCCUUCGGAUCGUGAUACUCUGUUAUGAGGGAAGAACAUCUGUGUAAGUAACUGUGGACAUCUUGACGGUACCUGAUCAGAAAGCAACGGCUAACUACGUG